CAGCGUGAAAAUGUGGCGGGUAGGUGAACCUGCGGAAGGAUCAUUGCACACACAAGUUGCAGCCAACCCGCGGCGAACGAACACAUUGUCCCCCUCGGUGGGUCGUGGCGCCUCGCGGCGUCGCGGCCGGCCAUCUCCCUUCGUCACGAGCUUCGUCGCGGCGAGCUCGGGGCGUGGGGUUUCCACGAUGCAUCCACCUUGACUGAAUGACUGAGUCCCUUUACUUCAUAGGAAUUAGCUCCGUCCCCGUUCGCCGGCUCGCUUGCGAAUUGGGGCGGCGCUGGUUACCUUACGAGUUGAAACAUAACCAAAAACAACUCUCAGCAACGGAUAUCUUGGCUCUUGCAACGAUGAAGAACGCAGCGAAAUGCGAUACGUAGUGUGAAUUGCAGAAUUCCGCGAAUCAUCGAGUCUUUGAACGCAAGUUGCGCCCGAGGCUUGUCCGAGGGCAUUUCCGCUAGAGCGUCACCGCGCCCCCCACCAACCCGCUCCCACGUGGAUUCGGGUCGAGUGAAAGUGGCCAUCCUGGUGGGCCUUUUUUUUCCUUAAGGGAAGAGGAAGGCCUUAAGGGUUGGCUGAAAUGGAGGGAAUCGAGCCGCCGUGGUGACACAGUCCGCGAUCGGGUGAUCCGAGCUCCUUCGGGAGCCCGGAAUUUUUCUAAGUGCGCGGCUGCGUCCCCCAGUUGGUUUUGGUUACCUCAUGCAGGUCGAGCGCGCCCUCGUGGCGCGCGUCACGCAUCAGACCUCUAAUCGGAAAAGACUACCCGCUGAGUUUAAGCAUAUCACUAAGCGGAGGAGAAGAAACUAACCAGGAUUUCCCUA
rnacentral:rRNA from 1 species